CUACAGCAUUUGGCUUUAUUUAGCAUCAUAAAGGUCUCUCAGGGUUUGAAGCCCCUUAAUGCCUCACGUGUCUUUCAUAUUCUGGAAUUAGCUGGAGCUGGGAGGGCAAGCAUGGCCAGAUGAGGAAGCUGAGUCACAGAGAUUGCACCCACAGGUUUCAUCUGUGGCAGAGCCAGGAUUCAAUGUGAGCUGUGGAUGGGAUGCCUGGAUGGUGUAGUCAGGAUCCAGUGGAGGGACAAGUUACCACAGAGUCCCAGAACCACUACUUCUUGCUCCUGCCUGGGUGCAAUCCCCACAGACAGGGGAAUAAAGGACCUAGGAAGGGAAUGGUCCUGGGAAGCCAAAGGGUCAGGACUUCUCAGAAGCUGCUGGGGAAGCACUCAUCAGCCGCCUAUGCAAAGAUAAGACCCAACUGCUCUGCUUCCUCCUCAACUUCCCACUCUGUCAACAAAAAGGAAGAAAUGGGUGCUCACCAGCAGCAGGUCACAUGACAGGGCCUGUACUCAGCCCAUCAGAGUGUUCCCAGGACAGGGUUGGGGACCUUUGCUCUCAGCCCUGAUUUCACCUGUGGGGGGAAGGGCAAGUGCUGGGUGUGUGUGAGCCCUGGCUAGCCAGAGACCCCCGAAGACAGUUACUUUUAUCUGGUGAAGCCCUGAAUCCAGGCCUCAGGUCCAGACGGCUAAAAGGCCAAGGCAACCCAACACUGAGCUUUGAUCCAACACUAUUCUUGUGCCCAAAUCUAGCAUAUUGUUACCUCCUCCCAAAAUCCUGCUGUAGAAAGCAGAGUGAGCCCCUGGCUCUCUGUUUUAUUGGAAGGUAAAUGGAUUCUUUUUUUUAAGAUUUUAUUUAUUUAUUCAUGAGAGACACACAGAGAGAGAAAGGCAGAGAGACAUAGGCAGAGGGAGAAGCAGGCUCCAUGCAGGGAGCCUGAUG